GGCCAGGUCCCAUACGAUAGACUUGCUAGUGAAUUCCGCUAGGUCCGGAAGGAAGCAACGGUGUCUAGCAAGCUGUGCGAUGUGGGUAAGCCUGGCCCUU
rnacentral:SRP_RNA from 1 species